UACGUAGGGGGCAAGCGUUGUCCGGAUUUAUUGGGCGUAAAGAGCUCGUAGGCGGUUUGGUAAGUCUGGUGUGAAAUCUCCACGCUCAACGUGGAGGGGCCACCCGAUACUGCCAUGACUGGAGUCCGGUAGAGGAGUGUGGAAUUCCCGGUGUAGCGGUGAAAUGCGCAGAUAUCGGGAGGAACACCCGUAGCGAAGGCGGCACUCUGGGCCGGUACUGACGCUGAGGAGCGAAAAGCGUGGGGGAGCGAACAGG
rnacentral:rRNA from 1 species